UACGUAGGGUGCAAGCGUUGUCCGGAAUUAUUGGGCGUAAAGAGCUCGUAGGCGGUCUGUCGCGUCUGCUGUGAAAACCGGAGGCUCAACCUCCGGCCUGCAGUGGGUACGGGCAGACUAGAGUGCGGUAGGGGAGAUUGGAAUUCCUGGUGCAGCGGUGGAAUGCGCAGAUAUCAGGAGGAACACCGAUGGCGAAGGCAGAUCUCUGGGCCGUAACUGACGCUGAGGAGCGAAAGCAUGGGGAGCGAACAGG
rnacentral:rRNA from 1 species